UACGGAGGAUCCGAGCGUUAUCCGGAUUUAUUGGGUUUAAAGGGUGCGCAGGCGGGGGAUUAAGUCGGCGGUGAAAUUUUGCAGCUCAACUGUAAAAGUGCCUUCGAAACUGGUUUCCUUGAGUGUAGAUGAAGUAGGCGGAAUUUGUGGUGUAGCGGUGAAAUGCUUAGAUAUUACACAGAACACCAAUUGCGUAGGCAGCUUACUGAGCCGACACUGACGCUGAGGCACGAAAGCGUGGGGAUCAAACAGGAUUAGAUACCCGUGUAGUCU
rnacentral:rRNA from 1 species